AGCCUUGAGGUGUCAACAUGUUAGAUUGCAAAUCUAGAGAAGUAGACUAGCGUCUACCGGGGCUU
rnacentral:tRNA from 1 species